rnacentral:sRNA from 1 species
GCACACAAAUUUAAGCAGUUGAUUUUAAAAACAAAACGUUCACUGUGGCGUGAGCGAUAUUAAAACUCGAUUGUUUCAAAGUUGUAAUAUAAAUGCAAAGGGAAAGGUGAUUAUGUAGCAGAAACUACAUAAUAAGCAAAAACUACAAAAUGUUCAGCAAUACUAUGAUCAGCACUCAAUUCUUCAAUGAUUAAGGAAUAAUAAAUGAAGAUAUACAUUUUAUAUAAUCUAUCUUACAAAAAUAAGAAAUAUCGAGUUAAAAUUUAUCACGUGCUGAAGAACAAGUAUAAGUGAUUCUAGUAUAAGUGAGGAAGG